rnacentral:rRNA from 1 species
AGUGAACGUUGGCGGUAGGCCUAACACAUGCAAGUCGAACGGCAGCACAGUAAGAGCUUGCUCUUACGGGUGGCGAGUGGCGGACGGGUGAGGAAUACAUCGGAAUCUACUUUUUCGUGGGGGAUAACGUAGGGAAACUUGCGCUAAUACCGCAUACGACCUACGGGUGAAAGCAGGGGAUCUUCGGACCUUGCGCGAUUGAAUGAGCCGAUGUCGGAUUAGCUAGUUGGCGGGGUAAAGGCCCACCAAGGCGACGAUCCGUAGCUGGUCUGAGAGGAUGAUCAGCCACACUGGAACUGAGACACGGUCCAGACUCCUACGGGAGGCAGCAGUGGGGAAUAUUGGACAAUGGGCGCAAGCCUGAUCCAGCCAUACCGCGUGGGUGAAGAAGGCCUUCGGGUUGUAAAGCCCUUUUGUUGGGAAAGAAAAGCAGCAGGUUAAUACCCCGCUGUUCUGACGGUACCCAAAGAAUAAGCACCGGCUAACUUCGUG